rnacentral:rRNA from 1 species
GAGAGGAAGGUCCCCCACACUGGUACUGAGACACGGACCAGACUCCUACGGGAGGCAGCAGUGAGGAAUAUUGGUCAAUGGGCGAGAGCCUGAACCAGCCAAGUCGCGUGAAGGAUGAAGGAUCUAUGGUUUGUAAACUUCUUUUAUAUGGGAAUAAAGUGAGGAACGUGUUCCUUUUUGUAUGUACCAUAUGAAUAAGCAUCGGCUAACUCCGUGCCAGCAGCCGCGGUAAUACGGAGGAUGCGAGCGUUAUCCGGAUUUAUUGGGUUUAAAGGGUGCGUAGGUGGUUAAUUAAGUCAGCGGUGAAAGUUUGUGGCUCAACCAUAAAAUUGCCGUUGAAACUGGUUGACUUGAGUAUAUUUGAGGUAGGCGGAAUGCGUGGUGUAGCGGUGAAAUGCAUAGAUAUCACGCAGAACUCCGAUUGCGAAGGCAGCUUACUAAACUAUAACUGACACUGAAGCACGAAAGCGUGGGGAUCAAACAGGAUUAGAUACCCUGGUAGUCCACGCAGUAAACGAUG